rnacentral:rRNA from 1 species
UACGGAGGGUGCGAGCGUUGCUCGGAAUUAUUGGGCGUAAAGCGUACGCAGGCGGCUCGGUAAGUCGGGUGUGAAAGCCCCGGGCUCAACCUGGGAAUUGCAUUCGAUACUGGAUAGCUAGAGUUCGGCAGAGGGAAGCGGAAUUUCCGGUGUAGCGGUGAAAUGCGUAGAUAUCGGAAGGAACAUCAGUGGCGAAGGCGGCGCUCUGGGCCGGUGAACUGACGCUGAGGAGCGAAAGCGUGGGUAGCAAACAGG